CUGCUGCUGCUGCUCCCCCUGUAAAAGAGAGCAGACACGGCUCAGUUAUUUUGUUGUGCGGCCUUUGGGAGUUUAAUGAAAGUUUGUUCAACUUUAUUGGUGCUUAUAAAGAUUUAGUUCUGCUGCUUUUCCUGCAUUCCUGUAUCACCCCCUGCUGCAUUUCUGGUGCCCUUUUGGCACCCUCUCCGACAGCUGCAUGUUUACUUUCAGUGCAGAAAUUCCUGCGGGUGCUCCGAGGGCAGGUCUCUGUUUGAAGAGAAAGAGGAAUUUCUUUUGAAGGCAGAGACGGCACCUGGGGCACUUCAUAACCGCCCGCCCAGUCCCACAAGCUGCAAGUCUGGACUGAGGUUCACCCGCUUGGGGAUGUGACAGGGAGACCUGCCGCGUACUGCUGGGGGGCAGCAAACACCAGCUUUUCCCUUCUACUGCAGCACAGGCCCUGCUGAAGACAACAUCCGGCACAGCGAGGGCACGGCCUAGAACUGGGAAGGCAAGUCUGCAGCACCAAAGUCCUCCUUUCCACAUUGCCAUCCAAUAUAGGAGACCAUUCAGCACAAGAAUUCUAGGCUUUUGUUAUGCUUUGGGUUCUAACCUUUCUUCUGUCAUUCACUGUUUGAGGUUUUUCUUCUGUUUCCUGAUGUCUGCGGAGAGUAAGAAUUUCAGGUCGUGUAUUGUAUACGUGCUCUGAUAUUAAAUGGAACCAUUGAAGUCCACGUGUUGUAUCCACUGGGACUGUCUGAAGCUGAAAUGCCAUUUUACUGCCUCUUGUAGCUCAAAUUCUUUUGUCACUGCCAUUGGCAACAAGCACUCUCUGAGUUAAAAUGUCACUCUCUAGUCAAUGAUACUUAUUUCACUAAUGUGCUUUGAAUAUCACCCCUAGGUUUAGCCAUGACCCUGUGAGAUGCUGGUCAUUGUAACUGACCCAAGGUGAUGUUGAUUGGAAGAAGAGCGUACAGUGGAGGGAGGACAGGUCAACUGGACAUCUGGGAGUGCAUUCAUAGGAAGACCAUGAUGGAGCCACAUAUGACAAAUGCUUGGUCAUCAGUACUGCCCACUCCCAUGAACUUGAGAUGGGCAGGGCUGGAUAGGUGAAUGUUGAGAACAAUUUAGAAGAAGUUGCUUCCUCUCAACCUACUCCUAUCCCAAACUGAAAUCCUCCCUCCUGCGGUUCGUUAUGAAGCAGCCAGGGCACCAAGUUCAUCGCUGUUUCUGUUUCCAGAGGAUCGCCUUGGCCAUCAAAUUUUCUGAGCGCAGAGUCUGGAAUUCAUGUGUAUUAUCAGCCUAAUAAACUUCUUCAGCAACUCCUCAUCUGGGAACUGUGAGCAAGUCAGAGCUCCUUCCUCACCCCCUGAGUUGUUGUGACCUGUCCUAAUGUUUGGGCCUUGGAGGUUGUUUGUCAGAAGAUGUGGAGUGCCAAACAUAUAGGAAGUUAAAGAAAAGGACCAAGUUCACAGUGUACCCACAAGAAUCUGAUGGUUCCUCCUGUUAACAUGCGUCUCCAGGAGUGGCCUGGAAGUCGAGCACCUUCGGGGUGCGACCCCAUGGCCCUGUGGACGACCCAGUUCCUCGUCGGCAUCACCGGCUGAAGUGCAGGGGAGAUCUGAACGUCGAGACAGCAGUGGUCUCAGCUGUCAAUAUAAGUGACGCUGUAGACUGGAAGAUCGAAACAGCCUCCCCUCUCGCUGCAGCAGGAGCGAUACCUCUCUCUCCCCCUUGACAUUGAGGAAGAGGUUAUUUGCCGGACACCAGGCCUCGAGAUCUUCCACCUCCUCUCUGGAGGCUGUCUCAUUGUUGUUGGCAAUGAGAACUUCCACUGCCACGUCAUCAGGCUGAGUUGCCAGCCCGAUGCUCAACCCAGGACGGAUGGAAAGUGUGUAACGAGAUUGCUGAAUUCGAACCUGGGAUAACCCGCCUCGAAGUCCGACGUCGAUACCACUACACCCCCAGCCGAUUUAAUGGCAACAUUAGCCUAAGUAAACUAGUCAAAAUAAUGGCCACCAUGAGACAUUCCAAGAAUUAAUAUAAUAAGGUAAUCUUUAUGUUUGUUUUUUUUUUGCAGAUUUUGCAGACCUGUUAGAACAUGCCAGGGGUUGACUACUUGAGGAAUAGCAUAUGCUGAUGUAAAAUGAAUAAAUGACUGUCUGUGAACCACCCCACAGCAAUGCACAAAAUGUAAGAGAACUGGGAGGAUCAAUUUAAUCACUACAUAACUUUUUGAUAGAGGGAAAAAUUCGAACACUAACAGCUUCAUCCCUCAUGAUGUAAUAAUAACGUUAGGCUUCAUAACUGCAAUGCAUGAUUUUACUGUAAACAUUAGUGGAAAGUAGAACACAAAACAAUAGCUUAUGGCGUUAAGUGUAAAGUGUUAACAUGAGCACAGGAAUGGUAACGAUUGGCAAAGAGAUUAACAGUGAUCGGACCACUUUCAGUUGGCACUGUUACUAGUGGGAUGGCACCUGUAUCACUUAAUGGUUUCACCGGUGCCAAGCUGCAUGGGUCCUAGUGCCCUUCCCUUGCAACAUCGGUGGCGUGGAGAGGGGAAGGCCUGCAGCUUGGGCAACUGCCGGUCUCCCAUACAACCCUGCCCAGGCCUGCACCCUGGAAACUCCAGGCGCAGAUCCAUGGUCUCUUGAGACCGACGGAUGCCACCAUACAUUGUACAGACAGUUUAAAUGUGAAAGACACGACUAUUUAAAAUCAGAAUUUACAUUGCAACCACUGAGUGUGAUGUAGCCAGGUUUGGUGAAAGUGCAAAUUUGGCUGAAAAGUGAGGUUAUAAAGAAUCUGCUCAACUGAGUGGAGAAGUCGCUGGCAGAUUAAGUAUAAUUUAGGUAAGUAUGUGAUUACUUAGUUAAGAGAGAUUAUAGAAAGCAGAAUAAAUUUUAGGAAUUAGUAGAAGUUAGAGAUCAGGAAGAUUUUAUAGCCUUUAAGUUGACUUAUAGGUCCAACAACUCAUGGGAAGGUAAUUGGCCUGUUGAGUUUUGUUACAAAUGGGUGGAGUACAGGAGUAGGAAAGUCUGCUCUGGUACUUCAGUGAUGUCACACCUGUACAACACUGAUCCCUUUACACAUGAAGGAAUGUACUUGCCUUGAAGGUACUGCAGUGCAGAUGUGAUAAAUUGAUUCCUGGAACGUGUUGGUGUGCUAUGAAGAGAGCUUGAAUAGGAAGAGCUUACACUCUUCGGAAUUUAGAAGAACUAUAGGUGAUCUUACCCUCUGAAAGAUCGCGAUGAUGAGAGGCUCUUUUCUCUGGCUGGAGAACCUAGAGCAAGAAUCCUCAUCUUAGGAUAGGGGGUCAGAUCUUUAACUCUGAGAUGAAGAAAAUUUACUUCACCAAAGGGUUGUGAAACUUUGGAAACUGGGAGGCUAUGGGUGCUCUAUUGACAAUCUUAUUCAAAGGUGUGAGUGAUAUAAUUUUGACUUCAGACUGGUGCAGUGGUUAAUUAGAAAAGUGGACAGAGUGUUAAUUAUGAACUUGACAGUGAAGUCCAAAACAGCUUUAGGCAUACUUUGUUAGUUCAAUUGUCUUAUAUAUUUAAUAAUAGGGUGGUACUUUUUAUAUAAGAAACUUUGCAUUUUUAAAUCCAUCUAUUGUUUCAUAAGACCACAAGAUCAUAAGACCUUUGGAUCCAAGAGCAGAAGUAAGGCAUUCAGCUCAUCAUAGUCUGCUCCAUCUUCAAUAUUGGCUGAUUUUCCUGCGUCUUCCUCAUAAACUUUGUCACCCUGAUUACUUCAGAAACUGUCAACCUUCACUUUAAAUAUAGCCAAUUACUUGGCCUGCACAGCCAUCUGUGACAAAGAAAUGCACAGAUUCACAACCCUCUAGAUCAUAUAUGUCAAACUCAAGGCCCGCGGGCCAAAUGCGGCCCGCAGUGGAAUUAUCUUUGGCCCGCGAGAUAAUAUCUAAUUACUAUUAAAGCUGGCCCCAGUAAUCAAAGCGCCUGUGGCGUAUGAUAUGGCUAAUGCUGAGUUUAUUCAGGUACCAGGUUUUCAGGGUUUUUAGUGUUUAUUUGGUUUCCCUGGUUUAUUUCCUGAAUAUCAUUAAUGAAUAAUUUUUUUUUCUAUUGGAGCUGGCCCACCAGUAUAUUGCAUGCACCACUAAUACUACAAAUCCCACAAUGCACUGCCAGUACAUUGCUCGCGCUUGCCUUACUCCCUCAUCAGCAUCCUUAUGGCGCUAGUCACGUGUGGUCAACUUUCAGCUAUCCCUCACCCCAAAAAUGGCUGAACGAAAGGUGGACUUUGAAAACAGGGGUUUUCAAGGCAGGUGGGAGGCAGAGUAUAUGUUCGCAGAUAUAAAGGGCAAACCUGUUUGUCUUGUGUGUGGAGACGGUGUGGCUGUAAUUAAAGAAUAUAACGUAAGAUGACACUAUGAAAUGAAACACCACGACAAAUACAAGCAUCUGGACAAGAAACAGAAGCCCGCGAUGUGCGGUCGAAAGAGUGGAUUGGUGGGCAGGAUUCGGGAGAAGAUGCGGGAGGAAAACGGCGCAGGUGAGCUGACAGCUUAUCACUGCAUCAUACACCAGGAAUCGUUGUGUGGCAAAGCCUUGAAAAUGGAACAUAUAAUGAGCACCAUAACACGAGCAGUUAACUUCAUAAGAGCCAAAGGUUUAAAUCACAGUGAGUUCAAGUCGUUUCUGGAGGAGUUGGGUUCAGAAUAUAAUGAUUUGCCCUAACACACAGAGGUGCGAUGGUUAAGCCAAGGAAAAGUGCUGAAAAGAUGUUUCGAGUUGCGUGAGGAGAUCCGUUAGUUCAUGGAAAGCAAAGGGAAAGACACAACAAAGCUCCGGGAUAAAAAGUUGCUUUGUGAAAUGGCGUUUCUGUGUGACAUCACGAGCCAUCUCAAUGCGCUCAACCUGCAGCUUCAGGGGCGGGGUCGUGUGAUCACAGACAUGUACGCUGCAGUGAGGGCUUUUAAAACCAAGCUGCACCUGUGGGAGACGCAGAUGCAGCAAGAAAACUUGAGCCAUUUUCCGUGUUGCCAAACUAUGAAAGAGCAGGUUUCUACCGCAGUGUUCCCAUGUGCAAAGUUUGCUGAAAAACUUAGCAUACUUGGUGCCAACUUCACACAGCGAUUUGCAGACUUUGAAGCCCAAAAAAGCAGGUUUGAACUGCUCAGUAAUCCAUUUGCAGCUGACGUGGAAAGCGCACCAACCAACAUACAAAUGGAGCUGAUUGAACUCCAAUGUAGUGACACACUCAAGGCAAAGUAUGACUCGGUGGGCGCUGCACAGUUUCUACGUUUCAUUCCCGACACAAUGCCCCAGCUGCGUACCCAAGCUGCUCAAAUGCUCUCUAUGUUUGGCAGCACAUAUCUGUGUGAACAACUGUUCUCUUUGAUAAAGAUAAACAAAACAUCACACAGGGGUCGUCUUUCUGAUGAACACCUUCACUCAGUUCUGAGGAUUUCCUCAGCUCAGAGCCUGACUCCAAACAUUGAUGAACUUGCAUCCAAGAUGAGAUGCCAAGUAUCUGGCUUAGACUAGUGUGAAUCACAGAGUGUUGGCCUGUGGAAAAAUGUUUUCAUUAGAAAUUACUCUGGAAAAGCUGCAGAUAAAGCCAUAAGAAAUAAAUGAAACUGAUUUUUUAUUUAUUUAAUGUUCAAUGUUGUUUUUGUAGGCAAUAACCUAAGCUUUGUUAGUUCCAGGUUAAUAUGUGUAAUAAAUUCAUUUCAAUAAGUUUUGCAAUAAACGCUGAACCAGUCCGGCCCUCGACUUGUACCGAUUUUUAAAUUUUGGCCCACUGUGUAUUUGAGUUUGACACCCCUGCGUUAGGUCUACAUUUGUGUUUGCUAA